AUUCCGUAAUAAGGGCACUUUCGUAAUAAUUCUUUGUACCUUUCCCAUGCCUCAUACAAGGACUCAUCAUCCAUUUGUUGGAAAGGAGUGAUCUCGUUCCUCAACUU
rfam:Gossypium arboreum cultivar AKA8401 contig_100787_1, whole genome shotgun sequence.